GGACUACUAGGGUUUCUAAUCCCGUUCGCUCCCCUAGCUUUCGCACCUGAGCGUCAGGUACUCCCCAGGACACUGCCUACGCCUUCGGUGUUCCUCCGGAUAUCUACGCAUUUCACCACUACACCCGGAAUUCCGUGUCCCUCUGAAGCCCUCAAGUCUGCCAGUUUUCAAAGCUCUUGACCAGUUAAGCUGGCCACUGUCACUUCAAACUUGGCUGACCGCCUGCGUGCCCUUUACGCCCAGUAACUCCGGACAACGCUCGCCCCCUACGUAUUACCGCGGCUGCUGGCAC
rnacentral:rRNA from 1 species